rnacentral:rRNA from 1 species
UACAGAGGGGGCAAGCGUUGUUCGGAAUUACUGGGCGUAAAGGGCGCGUAGGCGGCCUUCUAAGUCGAACGUGAAAUCCCCCGGGCUCAACCCGGGAACUGCGUCCGAUACUGGAAGGCUUGAAUCCGGGAGAGGGAUGCGGAAUUCCAGGUGUAGCGGUGAAAUGCGUAGAUAUCUGGAGGAAUACCGGUGGCGAAGGCGGCAUCCUGGACCGGCAUUGACGCUGAGUGAGCGAAAGCCAGGGGAGCAAACGGG